CCUGGGGAUUGGAGUGGUUAAUUCUACUAUAUGUGGCAUUUUAUUGUCAGCAAUAGAAUGUAAAGUUGUUUGCCGUUUUAAAUGAAUGUUGCUUGUAAUUACAGAACAAAGCCAAUAUGAGUUUAGUACCAGUAUAUAACGUGGGUAACAUUUUGUGAUACAAAAGGGUGUUGCUAUGGUACCGACCAGCGCAUCUCUCGAUGCCCUUGAUGACGACGGAGGCGAUGCCUUGCUUCGGUUUGCGUCUCACGUUGAUGUACACGUUGUGCUUCUGCAUGAGCUUGGUGGCCGCCUCGGUCUCCACGCGGCACGCCUCUUCAGACACGUCGAAUAUCACCACCAGGGGGAGGCUGCCCUGUUAAGAUAAUCAUCAUCAUCAUCAUCAUCAGCCGCAGCAUGUCCACUGCUGAAUAUGGGCCUCUCCUAUAAUAAUAAUACGACUUAAUAUUUUUUAUUUGAAAUCAAUAGAUGUUGCUCAGGACUUUUGCGUAAAGGAAUCACAGGUCUGUCUUUCCAAGAUUUAAAGGACAACUAUAGUCAGUCACAAAGGUACCUGAGCAAUUUUAAAAGUUCAAAUUGCCUUUACACUAUUGUGUCCCUUAUCAAUUGUAGUUUUUACUUUUACUAAAAUAUACCUCAAAUUUAUUUUAACAUCA